CUACGGGCGGCAGCAGUGGGGAAUAUUGGACAAUGGGGGAAACCCUGAUCCAGCAAUGCCGCGUGUGCGAUGAAGGCCUGCGGGUUGUAAAGCACUUUCGGUGGGGAAGAAAUGUUCAAAGUUAAUACCUUUGAAAGUUGACGUUAUCCACAGAAGAAGCACCGGCAAACUCUGUGCCAGCAGCCGCGGUAAUACAGAGGGUGCAAGCGUUAAUCGGAGUUACUGGGCGUAAAGAGCGCGUAGGCUGAUAUUCAAGUCGAUUGUGAAAUCCCUGGGAUUAACCUAGGAAUUGCAGUUGAUACUGAGUGUCUAGAGUAUGGUAGAGGAAAGUGGAAUUCUCGGUGUAGUGGCCAAAUACGUAGAUAUCGAGAAGAACACCGGUGGCGAAGGCGACUUUCUGGACCAAUACUGACGCUGAGGCGCGAAAGCGUGGGGAGCAAACAGGAUUAGAUACCCCCGUAGUC
rnacentral:rRNA from 1 species